GCCGGAAUAGCCCAGGCUGCUAUAUGAAAGUAGGAGCUGUGCAUCUCAAUGGCCUCGUGGCCCCACUUCAGUCCAGCAGCCAGGAACCAGGUGAGGGUCAGGAUGACCCACCUUUGGGGGAGAGAUAGAAACAGAAACAGAAGAACUUAACAACUUUCCACUGGGGGGGAAACAACGUUUCGACAUUUCCACGACUUUGAUCUCCAAGAGAAGAUGCUGCUUAUUGCGAGAGCAUUUGAAGAACUUUAACCUCAGCAGCUGAUCUGCCAAACAUCUGCAGCCCUCUGUUGUAACAGGGUCAUCCCCACAUCGCAUAGCCGCGGGUUAUAUAACAGAAUACCAGGGUCGUAUUUUAGGACAAUGUCCUGGGGAUUUUUCAAUUCAUCGCAUUUCCACAGGAAAACGAGGAGGGGAGGAGGGGGGGGAACCCAGGAAAAUUGUUAAAGCUAAAGUGAAAGGAAAGAAAUGAAUGCUGCGGCAGCAUCUGUGUUUCCUCUGAAACUGAGGUGAACACAGGACAUCCAUGUUGGAGUCCUGACAAUU